AUUGAACGCUGGCGGCAUGCCUUACACAUGCAAGUCGAACGGCAGCACGGGAGCAAUCCUGGUGGCGAGUGGCGAACGGGUGAGUAAUAUAUCGGAACGUGCCCAGUCGUGGGGGAUAACGUAGCGAAAGCUACGCUAAUACCGCAUACGAUCUAUGGAUGAAAGCGGGGGAUCGCAAGACCUCGCGCGAUUGGAGCGGCCGAUAUCAGAUUAGGUAGUUGGUGAGGUAAAGGCUCACCAAGCCGACGAUCUGUAGCUGGUCUGAGAGGACGACCAUCCACACUGGGACUGAGACACGGCCCAGACUCCUACGGUAGGCAGCAGUGGGGAAUUUUGGACAAUGGGCGCAAGCCUGAUCCAGCAAUGCCGCGUGCAGGAUGAAGGCCUGCGGGUUGUAAACUGCUUUUGUACGGAGCGAAACGGCUUCCACUAAUACUGGGGGCUAAUGACGGUACCGUAAGAAUAAGCACCGGCUAACUACGUGCCAGCCGCCGCCGUAAUAC
rnacentral:rRNA from 1 species